rnacentral:rRNA from 1 species
UGGGGAAUAUUGGGCAAUGGGCGCAAGCCUGACCCAGCAACGCCGCGUGAAGGAAGAAGGCUUUCGGUUGUAAACUUCUUUUCUCAGGGACGAACAGAUGACGGUACCUGAGGAAUAAGCCACGGCUAACUACGUGCC